rnacentral:tRNA from 1 species
GCGGGUGUUGUAUAGCGGCCAUUACUCCAGUUUUCCAAACUGGCGACGGGGGUUCGACUCCCCCCACCCGCA